CAUGUAGGCGGAUUAAUAAGUUUGAAGUGAAAUCCUAUAGCUUAACUAUAGAACUGCUUUGAAAACUGUUAACCUAGAAUGUGGGAGAGGUAGAUGGAAUUUCUGGUGUAGGGGUAAAAUCCGUAGAGAUCAGAAGGAAUACCGAUUGCGAAGGCGAUCUACUGGAACAUUAUUGACGCUGAGAUGCGAAAGCGUGGGGAGCAAACA
rnacentral:rRNA from 1 species